CCUACGGGUGGCAGCAGUGGGGAAUAUUGGACAAUGGGCGAAAGCCUGAUCCAGCCAUGCCGCGUGUGUGAAGAAGGCCUUCGGGUUGUAAAGCACUUUCAGUGGGGAAGAAAGCCUUGGGGCUAAUACCCUCGAGGAAGGACAUCACCCACAGAAGAAGCACCGGCUAACUCCGUGCCAGCAGCCGCGGUAAUACGGAGGGUGCGAGCGUUAAUCGGAAUUACUGGGCGUAAAGCGCGCGUAGGCGGUCUGAUAAGCCGGUUGUGAAAGCCCCGGGCUCAACCUGGGAACGGCAUCCGGAACUGUCAGGCUAGAGUGCAGGAGAGGAAGGUAGAAUUCCCGGAGUAGCGGUGACAUGCGUAGAGAUCGGGAGGAAUACCAGUGGCGAAGGCGGCCUUCUGGACUGACACUGACGCUGAGGUGCGAAAGCGUGGGUAGCAAACAGGAUUAGAUACCCGAGUAGUC
rnacentral:rRNA from 1 species